rnacentral:rRNA from 2 species
GGGUUGUGAGGUUAAGCGACUAAGCGUACACGGUGGAUGCCCUGGCAGUCAGAGGCGAUGAAGGGCGUGCUAAUCUGCGAUAAGCGCCGGUAAGGUGAUAUGAACCGUUAUAACCGGCGAUACCCGAAUGGGGAAACCCAGUGUGAUUCGUCACACUAUCAUUAACUGAAUCCAUAGGUUAAUGAGGCGAACCGGGGGAACUGAAACAUCUAAGUACCCCGAGGAAAAGAAAUCAACCGAGAUUCCCCCAGUAGCGGCGAGCGAACGGGGAGGAGCCCAGAGCCUGAAUCAGCAUGUGUGUUAGUGGAAGCGUCUGGAAAGGCGCGCGAUACAGGGUGACAGCCCCGUACACAAAAGCGCAUGUGCUGUGAGCUCGAUGAGUAGGGCGGGACACGUGGUAUCCUGUCUGAAUAUGGGGGGACCAUCCUCCAAGGCUAAAUACUCCUGACUGACCGAUAGUGAACCAGUACCGUGAGGGAAAGGCGAAAAGAACCCCGGCGAGGGGAGUGAAAAAGAACCUGAAACCGUGUACGUACAAGCAGUGGGAGCACCCUUUGGGGUGUGACUGCGUACCUUUUGUAUAAUGGGUCAGCGACUUAUAUUCUGUAGCAAGGUUAACCGUAUAGGGGAGCCGAAGGGAAACCGAGUCUUAACCGGGCGUUAAGUUGCAGGGUAUAGACCCGAAACCCGGUGAUCUAGCCAUGGGCAGGUUGAAGGUUGGGUAACACUAACUGGAGGACCGAACCGACUAAUGUUGAAAAAUUAGCGGAUGACCUGUGGCUGGGGGUGAAAGGCCAAUCAAACCGGGAGAUAGCUGGUUCUCCCCGAAAGCUAUUUAGGUAGCGCCUCGUGAAUUCAUCUCCGGGGGUAGAGCACUGUUUCGGCUAGGGGGCCAUCCCGGCUUACCAACCCGAUGCAAACUGCGAAUACCGGAGAAUGUUAUCACGGGAGACACACGGCGGGUGCUAACGUCCGUCGUGAAGAGGGAAACAACCCAGACCGCCAGCUAAGGUCCCAAAGUCAUGGUUAAGUGGGAAACGAUGUGGGAAGGCCCAGACAGCCAGGAUGUUGGCUUAGAAGCAGCCAUCAUUUAAAGAAAGCGUAAUAGCUCACUGGUCGAGUCGGCCUGCGCGGAAGAUGUAACGGGGCUAAACCAUGCACCGAAGCUGCGGCAGCGA